rnacentral:rRNA from 1 species
AGGGGCAACAUAGAAGAAGCUUGCUUCUUCUGAUGGCGACCGGCGCACGGGUGCGUAACGCGUAUCAAACCUGCCUCAUACUCGGGGAUAGCCUUGCGAAAGUAAGAUUAAUACCCGAUGUUGUUAUGUUGCCGCAUGGUGAUAUAACCAAAGAUUUAUCGGUAUGAGAUGGUGAUGCGUCCGAUUAGGUAGUAGGCGGGGUAACGGCCCACCUAGCCAUCGAUCGGUAGGGGUUCUGAGAGGAAGGUCCCCCACACUGGAACUGAGACACGGUCCAGACUCCUACGGGAGGCAGCAGUGAGGAAUAUUGGUCAAUGGACGGAAGUCUGAACCAGCCAAGUAGCGUGCAGGAUGACGGCCCUCUGGGUUGUAAACUGCUUUUAGUUGGGAAUAAAAAGAGGACGUGUCCUCUAUUGUAUGUACCUUCAGAAAAAGGACCGGCUAAUUCCGUGCCAGCAGCCGCGGUAAUACGGAAGGUCCAGGCGUUAUCCGGAUUUAUUGGGUUUAAAGGGAGCGUAGGCGGAUUAUUAAGUCAGUGGUGAAAGACGGUGGCUCAACCAUCGUUAGCCAUUGAAACUGGUAGUCUUGAGUGCAGACAGGGAUGCUGGAACUCGUGGUGUAGCGGUGAAAUGCUUAGAUAUUACACAGAACACCGAUAGCGAAGGCAUAUUACUAACAAU